AACGCACCUUGCGCCCUUUGGUAUUCCGAAGGGCAUGCCUGUUUGAGUGUCAUUGAACAAUCAACUUCACAAGUUUUGUGAAGCUUGGACUGUGAGGGUUUGCGGGUGUCACCGAUACCGGCUCCCUUUAAAUUGAUCAGCUUGUGCUUUUCCACCGGCUCUGGACUGAUAAAUCCAUCUAUCCGUUGCUGCUGGGAUGAGCCUGCUUCAAAUUGUCCCUUGUGGACUGUCCUUCGGGGCAUAUUUUGAUCUUGACCUCAAAUCAGGUAGGACUACCCGCUGAACUUAA
rnacentral:misc_RNA from 1 species